rnacentral:rRNA from 1 species
AGUACGGAACGUCGACCCAAUCGGUGGGGGAAUAACGUAGACGAAAGCUACGCUAAUACCGCAUACGAUCUACGGAUAGAAAGGCGGGGGAUCGCAAGACCUCGCGCGAAUGGAGCGGCCGAUGGCAGAUUAGGUAGUUGGUGGGGUAAAGGCUCACCAAGCCUGCGAUCUGUAGCUGGUCUGAGAGGACGACCAGCCACACUGGAACUGAGACACGGUCCAGACUCCUACGGGAGGCAGCAGUGGGGAAUUUUGGACAAUGGGCGCAAGCCUGAUCCAGCCAUUCCGCGUGCAGGAUGAAGGCCCUCGGGUUGUAAACUGCUUUUGUACGGAACGAAAAGGCUUUCUCUAAUACAGGGGGCUCAUGACGGUACCGUAAGAAUAAGCACCGGCUAACUACGUG